rnacentral:lncRNA from 1 species
AUUAAAUGUCACCAACGAAUAAAAAUGUUAACGUUUUUCUAAUCCAUCUGUUCCUGUAGUUUAAAUCGUUUUACUCGUUAUUUUCUUGACUAGAGUGGUCAUGAAGAAAGGCGAGCUACAGCAAGUACGUGCGACGGGCCAACCAGGGCUCUUUGCUGGCUUCCCUUCUUUCUUUUCGCGGCAUCGGUGCUGGAGAUCACACAGAUACUACAUCGUCCUGUUAAUUUCAGGUAAUUAAAAAAUAUCCCCAAAAA